CCUACGGGCGUCAGCAGUGGGGGAUAGUGCACAAUGGGGGAAACCCUGAUGCAGCAAUGCCGCGGGAAGGAUGAAGGUUUUCGGAUUGGAAACUUCAUGUGGACGGGACGACGAAAGUGACGGUACAGUAAGAAUAAGCCACGGCUCACUCCGUGCCAGCAGCCGCGGUAAUACGUAGGUGGCAAGAGUUAUGCGGAUUUACUGGGUGUAAAGGGCGAGUAGGCGGGAUUGCAAGUCAGAUGUGAAAUCUAUGGGCUCAACCGCUUGAGUGCCUUUGAAACUUCAGUUCUUGAGUGAUUGUGAGUCAGGCGGAAUUCCCGUUGUAGCCGUGGACUUCGUAGAUAUCGGGAGGAACACCAGUGGCGAAGGCGGCCUGCUGGACAUUAACUGACGCUGAGGCGCGACAGCGUGGGGAGCAAACAGGAUUAGAUACCCCAGUAGUC
rnacentral:rRNA from 1 species